rnacentral:rRNA from 1 species
UACGGAGGGGGCGAGCGUUAUUCGGAAUUAUUGGGCGUAAAGGGCGCGUAGGCGGCCUGGUAAGUCAAAGGUGAAAUCCCUCGGCUCAACUGAGGAACUGCCUUUGAAACUGCCUGCUUGAGGCCGGGAGGGGGUGGCGGAAUUCCCAGUGUAGCGGUGAAAUGCGUAGAUAUUGGGAGGAACACCAGUGGCGAAGGCGGCCACCUGGACCGGUUCUGACGCUGAUGCGCGAAAGCGUGGGUAGCAAACAGG